rnacentral:tRNA from 1 species
AACCUAUUAGCUCAGCGGGAGAGCAAUGUGCCACUGCACAUGGAUGUAGGUUCAAAUCCUACAUAGGUUG